UACGGGGGGGGGGGCAAGCGUUGUUCGGAAUUACUGGGCGUAAAGGGCUCGUAGGCGGCCAACUAAGUCAGACGUGAAAUCCCCAGGCUUAACCUGGGAACUGCGUCUGAUACUGGAGGGCUUGAGUAUGGGAGAGGGAUGUAGAAUUCCAGGUGUAGCGGUGAAAUGCGUAGAUAUCUGGAGGAAUACCGGUGGCGAAGGCGGCAUCCUGGACCGGCAUUGACGCUGAGGAGCGAAAGCCAGGGGAGCAAAGCGGG
rnacentral:rRNA from 1 species